AGACCCAUAAGAAGGCCCUUACCCUAAAAAUGAUGAUGUCGAAAGAGAAAGAAGAGAAAGAAGAAGACAAAGAACAGAAAAA
rnacentral:ribozyme from 1 species